rnacentral:rRNA from 1 species
UACGGAGGGAGCUAGCGUUGUUCGGAAUUACUGGGCGUAAAGCGCACGUAGGCGGCUUUUUAAGUCAGGGGUGAAAUCCUGGAGCUCAACUCCAGAACUGCCUUUGAUACUGAGAAGCUUGAGUCCGGGAGAGGUGAGUGGAACUGCGAGUGUAGAGGUGAAAUUCGUAGAUAUUCGCAAGAACACCAGUGGCGAAGGCGGCUCACUGGCCCGGUACUGACGCUGAGGUGCGAAAGCGUGGGGAGCAAACAGG